ACUUCAUAAGGGGCAAGAUUCCAGAUUGGCCCAUCUGAGCUUUCAUUUUCUCAAAGGCAGAGCAGGAUACCUAGGGCUUGGUUUGCACCUAUCGCUAUUUCUAGCCACUGGGGGCCAUAGGCAGCCUGGGGGAAUGCACAAUAAUGUUAAAAAAAAAACCUCAUAAAGUGAAAUUUUCAUGCCAUGAGACCUUU